AAGCAGUGCAAAGCCAGAUGGUACG
rnacentral:misc_RNA from 1 species